UCCAACCUAGUCACAACCUGUUCACUGAAGACUGCCUUCAAGCUUUUCUGGGCCAUUUGUGCUGGGCAGUCUUUUUGUUGAGUUGACACAACCAGGGUCAUCUGGGAAAAGGUCACCUGAGGAAAUGCACCCAUCAGACAGGCCUGUGGAAAAACUCUUCCUCAUGCCCCUACUCAAGUAACCCUGCUGACUCGUUGGAGCUUCUGACAGGAUCCAAGUAAGCAGUACCAAACCCUGCCUAACCUGCUGACACAGUAGCAUACAGGAAAGCUGGAGCAGUUGUACACUCAAUUGUUAAGAAAUAUUCAGAAAGAUCUCUUUCUGCAACACAGUUGGCCUUGAAUUUGAGAAAAUGUACUUUUGCAAUCUUCCAAACUGCUGGGAUUUAUAAACACAAGCCACCACAUUCAGUGAGUGUUAAAAACAAAAAACUUUAAGUCCUAGGGACUGAAUUCAUGGACUCACACAUGAAGGCAACACUAUCAGACUACAGUCCUACCCCAGUUUAGACGUUGCUUUGAGAAGAACAGGUAUAACUGACUCAGUUGUUCUAUCUGGCCUUGAGUUUAAGACCACUGCAGCCUCUGACAGCUGGGAUUACAAGCUUGUUCCACCAGGACCCAGUGACGGCUCAUCCAUUCCAGGUGGACUUCAGUUUUCCAAGUGACCCAGCCUCAUACCUGGUUUCUGAGCGGUGCUGCAGACAAAGUCUG